CUUUGAACACAUUUCAAUUACAAUUUCAAUUUCAAGUCAAACCUCAAUCUCACACGGUUCAAAUUAAAUCACUUUUACUAUUUUGAUGGCUUUCAUUUCGUCCUUCUUCAAUUGUUUUGGACCUUCUUCAAACUCAUCAUCUCAAGUUUUUGAGUAUGAUAAAAAAGUAUCUCAAUCAAAAUCUUCAUCAUCAUCAUCGAAUAAAUCAAACAGCAGAGAAAAAUCAAAUGGAGCUCCGAUUGUAGUUUAUCAUUUUCCUGUUAACUCUAAUCUCUCACGUUUGUAGUCAUGUCUUGUUAACAAACUUAUUUAUUUAUUUAUUUUGGUACUUGAUUUUCUUUUAUUUCUUUAUUCUUGUUUUAAUGAGAAAAAACCUAUAUGAUUUAUAUAAAUAAUUAAUAUUGUUCUACCAUGAUAUUAUUUGAACUAAUUUUAAUUCCAUCUCAUUAAUAAAGUAUUGUGGUUGGUUCCUA
rnacentral:lncRNA from 1 species